ACGAGACCCUCCUGCUCCUGCUCCUCCUCCUCCUCCCUCACCCGGCGGCGGCUUCCUACCUCUGCCUGCGCCCCGCCUCUUCCUCCUUCUCAGCGGCAGCGAUGAGCAUGAGAGCAGCGGAAGCGGCUGGAAGCCACAAGCUGGCCGAGGUGGUCUACAGCGAGGAACGGUCGCGCUCGACGCCGUCCUCCAACCCGUACUUCCCAACCCGAUGCAUACCCAAGGAUUCUGGCGUAGCUCGAAGGAAGGACCAAGGCCUGGGACGACGCGCCUUGUCCUUGUCUUCCUCUAACAUCUCCCUGUCGACUGCUGCUUAUUAGGGAGGGAGGAAGGGAGGGAAAAAGAUAGAUGGCAUCGGCGGCUGGAGCUGGCUGAGUUAUUUGGGGACCUGCGCACACGUCGAGCGACGGCGAGCACAUCCGACGGCAACACACCAAGAGUCCUCAUCUUCGUAUCAGUGUCCCUCAAUUUUCUGUUGGCCAAAACAAAAGAUGUAAUCUAUUGUUGAAAGGCCAACUUGUCUGCAAAAUACUUUGCGAACUGCGGCACGGUGAGGUACAUCCUUGUAUUUUCUGGUUUAUUUUUCCGAUGCGAGAAGUGCAGGAGCACUAUCGGUUGCUCACUUAUGUAUAUAAUAAUCAUCGGUUGUUGUUUUUAUUCGUCAAAAGAAGUUCUGUGUGAGUUAGAGCCUAGAGGUUAUAGGUAACAAGGGCGCGUGAUCCUAUUAAAUGGAAGGGAUGUAAUUAUUUGUCCAAGUGAUAUUGAAGUUACAUUUGAGAAUUUUGCCUACCACUUUAGGUGAUGCUUUGACUUAAUGUUCCUUUCAUUUGCUUUGGCGUCUAAUCCUGUUUAUUAGCUUCUUCAUAUACUGUAUAUCUGAAACUUUUAUUACAUUUUAUUAGUCCAAGUGAAAGCAUCUGUAACUGCAUGUAGAUAUAUUUUGUCAACCCGUGUAACAUUGCCUUUUAAAUAUGAUUAUGAUUUUCAUUAUGUGCAACUCUGCCCAGAUUGAGUAGCAGGUUGUUUAUCACGUGCCUAGAUGAGGUCACUAUGGUGGUACUGAAAAGUGAUGCUCUAAUGUUCAUAUGUGUUAUGGAGUUGGUUCUUUUGAAGUUAAAGUAGUUGUGUAUUAUGCUCUUCUUAGGUUUUAAGCCUAGGUGAGGGCAUCAUAUGUGCUAAUGUACGUUGUUUUCAAUCCGCCUGCGUUUGAUUUUUUUUACCUCUUCUAGGUUGUUUUGCUUAUUGUGGUUUCCCUCUAUUCCACAAGGUCUGUCAGCUGCUAGGAUUUAAGGUGUAGGAACUUACGGGUUGUUGUUUCUGUUGCUGAUUAGAGCUUUGGUUAAGAUGCUUUCUUUUUUAGUUUAGUCGGCAUUCUGUUGUUGCCCUUAUGAUAAAUUGUUAGUUAGACUUGUGCUUAACUAGCGAUUCUUACAGAGUUGUACUUUCACUGAGAAGAAAAGGCUAUACUUUUUACUAACAAAGAUGUCAAUAUUGCUGCUUUCUGCCCAUAGUUUCACUGUCCUUUUUUAUAGUUUAUUUAUAGCAGAUGAAUACAUGAAUAUAGCCCUCCUAUUUUAGAGUAUGAAUCAGAAUCUAAAUUAGCAAUUCUAAAAAUGAUCAAUAACUUCAAUUUCAUCAUAUAUGCAGUGUCCCCAAUUUUAUUUUAUUUUCCUUUUUGGUUCUAUAGGAUUGAGAUCUAUACUUUGCCUUAAACUGAAUUUGAUGUUGUUCAUGCAUCUGAUGUCACUUAGAUUUUAGGAAUUUUAGGAUGGAUGGCAAGUUUCCCAUGUUGGAUGUUUCCUUAAUUUCUCAAAUCUUUGUGAUAAUCUAGGUGAUUCUAUUUCUACCUCAGGACUUGCCUUUCUCUGUUUCAGUUUCAAAAAGAUAUUAUUUGAGGUUAGAUGACCCUUAAUCAGUUCGUUUCAUGUGGACAGACGACUAAUGGUAUUGUUCCAAGAAGACAAGCAAGUGCGUAUUAUGUAGUUGUAGGUAUCAAUUUUUUCUCAUUCCGAUGAUUCUGAAGCAAUUAAAUUGGUAUGAUCACUUCAUCCCCCAAUUUCUCUGUCAAAGCUUACUUUGUCCAUCGUCAUACCAAAAUGAGUUACUCUAUUUCCUAUAGCUCUAUUAUUACUAUUUCCAUCAGAACGUGUCUCUCAGUUCUCCUUUAUAAUAUCAUGCUCAGAGGCACGAAUGCAAAAUGUGCUUGAAUUAUGGUGUUGGUUUUAAGAAAAAUGUGUGAAUGGAAUAAGAACUAUAUUUUUUUUAGGGAGAUAAGUAUAUAUUACUUUGAUUGUUGAAUCGGCCUAUGUGUAACUUCACGUUCUGUCGUUUGUGGAUACAUUUGUAAAGAAGUGACAUGGCUUACUAACCAUAUUAAAUUUUGUCUUUGGAUAUGGAAUAAAGGUGGGAGAGCAAAUGUGUUGUCGAAGUCCGACGAGAUUAAAUAGCAGGUUGACUCUUUGUAGUGCUUGUUCAAAUGUAUGUCAGGUGUUUUGUUAUCUAAAAAAAAACACAUUAUCCUGCCUUUGUUUUUACAUCGAGGUGUAAAUGUUGAGAAGUAUAUUAUUCUGAUUGAUAAUAGUUUGAGGAUCACUACAAAGGAUC